rnacentral:rRNA from 1 species
GAUGAACGCUGGCGGCGUGCCUAAUACAUGCAAGUCGAGCGAACGGACGAGAAGCUUGCUUCUCUGAUGUUAGCGGCGGACGGGUGAGUAACACGUGGAUAACCUACCUAUAAGACUGGGAUAACUUCGGGAAACCGUAGCUAAUACCGGAUAAUAUUUUGAACCGCAUGGUUCAAAAGUGAAAGACGGUCUUGCUGUCACUUAUAGAUGGAUCCGCGCUGCAUUAGCUAGUUGGUAAGGUAACGGCUUACCAAGGCAACGAUGCAUAGCCGACCUGAGAGGGUGAUCGGCCACACUGGAACUGAGACACGGUCCAGACUCCUACGGGAGGCAGCAGUAGGGAAUCUUCCGCAAUGGGCGAAAGCCUGACGGAGCAACGCCGCGUGAGUGAUGAAGGUCUUCGGAUCGUAAAACUCUGUUAUUAGGGAAGAACAUAUGUGUAUGUAACUGUGCACAUCUUGACGGUACCUAAUCAGAAAGCCACGGCUAACUACGUG